GACUCCGAAGAGGAGGAGCAGGUAGAACACCAAUCGUACUCGGCGAAGUAGGGUCCCCAGCGCUCCCCGAAGGCAUUCUGCAGAGCCAGGAAUGAGGAGUCUGGAGAGACGGCCGAUUCCGGGACAGGAGGAGGGAAGUACCAUAAAAGUCUGAGGGAAUGUUCUACGUUGAAGAACACAAAGGAACCAUGGCAACUGUGUAGAACACCUGAUCCCUCUGGUGAGAAUGUUAGAGAGCAUAGCUGUGGAACGACUGACAAAAAUUGGGACAUGGGCAAUUAAUAGCCAUAUGAUGCUAAAUCUACUGUGGUAAUUAUGAUAAUGUUGGAGAAGACCCUUCCUCUUGGGAAAUAAACAGGGAAGGCUAUGGUCGUACAUGGCUGAACUGGAUAUGACUUCCUCUCAAAUGGUUUGGAAAUACACUGCGUGUGUACAUUGUGUACACACAGUUCGGAAAUGCAGUGUGUGUGU